UGGCUCAGAUUGAACGCUGGCGGCAGGCCUAACACAUGCAAGUCGAGCGGCAGCGGAAAGUAGCUUGCUACUUUGCCGGCGAGCGGCGGACGGGUGAGUAAUGUCUGGGAAACUGCCUGAUGGAGGGGGAUAACUACUGGAAACGGUAGCUAAUACCGCAUAACGUCGCAAGACCAAAGAGGGGGACCUUCGGGCCUCUUGCCAUCAGAUGUGCCCAGAUGGGAUUAGCUAGUAGGUGGGGUAACGGCUCACCUAGGCGACGAUCCCUAGCUGGUCUGAGAGGAUGACCAGCCACACUGGAACUGAGACACGGUCCAGACUCCUACGGGAGGCAGCAGUGGGGAAUAUUGCACAAUGGGCGCAAGCCUGAUGCAGCCAUGCCGCGUGUAUGAAGAAGGCCUUCGGGUUGUAAAGUACUUUCAGCGGGGAGGAAGGCGUUGAGGUUAAUAACCUCAGCAAUUGACGUUACCCGCAGAAGAAGCACCGGCUAACUCCGUGCCAGCAGCCGCGGUAAUACGGAGGGUGCAAGCGUUAAUCGGAAUUACUGGGCGUAAAGCGCACGCAGGCGGUCUGUCAAGUCGGAUGUGAAAUCCCCGGGCUCAACCUGGGAACUGCAUUCGAAACUGGCAGGCUAGAGUCUUGUAGAGGGGGGUAGAAUUCCAGGUGUAGCGGUGAAAUGCGUAGAGAUCUGGAGGAAUACCGGUGGCGAAGGCGGCCCCCUGGACAAAGACUGACGC
rnacentral:rRNA from 1 species